rnacentral:rRNA from 1 species
CCUACGGGAGGCUGCAGUGGGGAAUAUUGGACAAUGGGGGCAACCCUGAUCCAGCCAUGCCGCGUGUGUGAAGAAGGCCCUCGGGUUGUAAAGCACUUUCAGUGAGGAAGAACGCCUGGUGGUUAAUACCCAUCAGGAAAGACAUCACUCACAGAAGAAGCACCGGCUAACUCCGUGCCAGCAGCCGCGGUAAUACGGAGGGUGCGAGUGUUAAUCGGAAUUACUGGGGCGUAAAGCGCGCGUAGGUGGCUUGAUAAGCCGGUUGUGAAAGCCCCGGGCUCAACCUGGGAACGGCAUCCGGAACUGUCAAGCUAGGGUGCAGGAGAGGAAGGUAGAAUUCCCGGUGUAGCGGUGAAAUGCGUAGAGAUCGGGAGGAAUACCAGUGGCGAAGGCGGCCUUCUGGACUGACACUGACACUGAGGUGCGAAAGCGUGGGUAGAAAACAGGAUUAGAUACCCGGUAGUC